rnacentral:lncRNA from 1 species
UAGGAUUUGAUUUAGGAUUUGGUUAGGGUUUGGUUUAGGGUUUAAGGUUUAGUUAGGAUUUGGUUUAGGGUUUAGGGUUUAGUUAGGGUUUGAUUUAGGAUUUAGGAUUUAGUUAGGAUUUGGUUUAGGAUUUAGGAUUUGGAUUAGGGUUUGGUUUAGGAUUUAAGAUUUGGAUUAGGAUUUGAUUAGGAUUUUAUUUAGGGUUUAGAGUUUGAUUUAGGGUUUGGUUUAGGAUUUGGUGAGUAUUUGGUUUAGAAUUUGGUUGGAGUUUGAUUUAAGAUUUGUUUAGGGUUUGAUUUAGGAUUUAGGAUUUUAUUAGGAUUUAAGAUUCAAUUAGUUUUGGCCUAAAGUUUGAAUGAAGUUCAAUAAGAUUUUAACUAGAAUUAAAUUAAGAUUGGAUUGAGAUGUAUUUGAGUGAUAUUUGUAAUUCUUCUAAUAUUUUUUUAAGAAUUCUUAUUGUUUGUUUGAAUUUUUUUUGAAUUUU